GAAUCUGACCUGCAGCAGUGAUGCUAACCCAGCAGCUCACUACACCUGGUACAAGAGAAGUGGAGAUAAACAAGUUCAACCAAAAGCAUCAGGACAAAACUUCACCAUCACUGAUAUCACAGCUGAACAUGGUGGAAAGUAUCAGUGUGAGGCCCAGAACACACACGGACGUAGUAACACCACCUUACAUCUGACUGUUGGAGCAGGUGCUUGGAAAUCAGCAGUGACUGGAACAACCACAGCUCUUCUCCUGGUGGUCGUCCUCCUCGCUGUCUUCCUGUGGAUCAGAAGAAACAAGUCCUUCACACAACAGCGUGAGUGCGGUGAGAGACCAGAAGACAGAGCGCAGAUUCCAGCUGCAGCACACACACGACCAGCAGAGCCUCACGAUGACGUCCACUACGCCAGCGUCUGCUUCACCCAGAACCCGGCAGACGCCAUCUACUGCAACAUAGGUCGAGUUCAACCCCAGAGAGAAACUGAGGAAGACGAGGAGGAGGAGGCUGAAUACAGCGCUGUUCGAUUUGACAGUGCAACAGGAACAAGACGUGAAGAAGAGGGAGACGAUCCAUCUGCAUUGUACAGCACAGUCACCAAACACUGAAGAAACACAACGUGAAUCUGUUGUUUAUAUGUGGAUUUUACAGCAUAGAACCAGAAGAAAUAAAACAUAUA